GAUGAACGCUGGCGGCGUGCCUAAUACAUGCAAGUCGAGCGAACAGACGAGGAGCUUGCUCCUCUGACGUUAGCGGCGGACGGGUGAGUAACACGUGGAUAACCUACCUAUAAGACUGGGAUAACUUCGGGAAACCGGAGCUAAUACCGGAUAAUAUAUUGAACCGCAUGGUUCAAUAGUGAAAGACGGUUUUGCCGUCACUUAUAGAUGGAUCCGCGCCGCAUUAGCUAGUUGGUAAGGUAACGGCUUACCAAGGCAACGAUGCGUAGCCGACCUGAGAGGGUGAUCGGCCACACUGGAACUGAGACACGGUCCAGACUCCUACGGGAGGCAGCAGUAGGGAAUCUUCCGCAAUGGGCGAAAGCCUGACGGAGCAACGCCGCGUGAGUGAUGAAGGUCCUCGGAUCGUAAAACUCUGUUAUUAGGGAAGAACAAAUGUGUAAGUAACUAUGCACGUCUUGACGGUACCUAAUCAGAAAGCCACGGCUAACUACGUGCCAGCAGCCGCAGUAA
rnacentral:rRNA from 1 species